AUCUGGCUGACGAGUCCCAAAUAGGACGAAACGCGCAUCCUGGAU
rfam:Schistosoma rodhaini strain Burundi genome assembly, scaffold: SROB_scaffold0004648